UCGUAGGCGGUUUGUCGCGUCUGCUGUGAAAACCCGAGGCUCAACCUCGGGCCUGCAGUGGGUACGGGCAGACUAGAGUGCGGUAGGGGAGAUUGGAAUUCCUGGUGUAGCGGUGGAAUGCGCAGAUAUCAGGAGGAACACCGAUGGCGAAGGCAGAUCUCUGGGCCGUAACUGACGCUGAGGAGCGAAAGGGUGGGGAGCAAACAGGCUUAGAUACCCUGGUAGUCCACCCCGUAAACGUUGGGAACUAGUUGUGGGGUCCAUUCCACGGAUUCCGUGACGCAGCUAACGCAUUAAGUUCCCCGCCUGGGGAGUACGGCCGCAAGGCUAAAACUCAAAGGAAUUGACGGGGACCCGCACAAGCGGCGGAGCAUGCGGAUUAAUUCGAUGCAACGCGAAGAACCUUACCAAGGCUUGACAUAUACGAGAACGCUGCAGAAAUGUAGAACUCUUUGGACACUCGUAAACAGGUGGUGCAUGGUUGUCGUCAGCUCGUGUCGUGAGAUGUUGGGUUAAGUCCCGCAACGAGCGCAACCCUCGUUCUAUGUUGCCAGCACGUAAUGGUGGGAACUCAUGGGAUACUGCCGGGGUCAACUCGGAGGAAGGUGGGGAUGACGUCAAAUCAUCAUGCCCCUUAUGUCUUGGGCUUCACGCAUGCUACAAUGGCCGGUACAAAGGGCUGCAAUACCGCAAGGUGGAGCGAAUCCCAAAAAGCCGGUCCCAGUUCGGAUUGAGGUCUGCAACUCGACCUCAUGAAGUCGGAGUCGCUAGU
rnacentral:rRNA from 1 species